rnacentral:rRNA from 1 species
UACAGAGGGUGCGAGCGUGUCCGGAAUCACUGGGCGUAAAGGGCGCGUAGGCGGCUUGAUAAGGUUGCGGUGAAAGCCCGGGGCUCAACCCCGGGUCGGCCGUGGCAACUGUCGAGCUGGAGCACUGUAGAGGCAGGUGGAAUUCCGGGUGUAGCGGUGGAAUGCGUAGAGAUCCGGAAGAACACCGGUGGCGAAGGCGGCCUGCUGGGCAGUGGCU